rnacentral:rRNA from 1 species
AGUGAACGCUGGCGGUAGGCCUAACACGUGCAAGUCGAACGGCAGCACAGGAGAGCUUGCUCUCUGGGUGGCGAGUGGCGGACGGGUGAGGAAUACAUCGGAAUCUACUUUUUCGUGGGGGAUAACGUAGGGAAACUUACGCUAAUACCGCAUACGACCUACGGGUGAAAGCAGGGGAUCUUCGGACCUUGCGCGAUUGAAUGAGCCGAUGUCGGAUUAGCUAGUUGGCGGGGUAAAGGCCCACCAAGGCGACGAUCCGUAGCUGGUCUGAGAGGAUGAUCAGCCAAACUGGGAAUGAGACCCGGUCCAGACUCCUACGGGAGGCAGCAGUGGGGAAUAUUGGAAAAUGGGCGCAAGCCUGAUCCAGCCAUACCGCGUAGGUGAAGAAGGCCUUCGGGUUGUAAAGCCCUUUUGUUGGGAAAGAAAUCCAGCUGGUUAAUACCCGGUUGGGAUGACGGUACCCAAAGAAUAAGCACCGGCUAACUUCGUGCCAGCCGCCGCAGUAA